GUGGGGAAUAUUGGACAAUGGGGGGAACCCUGAUCCAGCCAUGCCGCGUGUGUGAAGAAGGCCUUUUGGUUGUAAAGCACUUUAAGCGAGGAGGGGGCUACCGAGAUUAAUACUCUUGGAUAGUGGACGUUACUCGCAGAAUAAGCACCGGCUAACUCUGUGCCAGCAGCCGCGGUAAUACAGAGGGUGCAAGCGUUAAUCGGAUUUACUGGGCGUAAAGCGCGCGUAGGUGGCCAAUUAAGUCAAAUGUGAAAUCCCCGAGCUUAACUUGGGAAUUGCAUUCGAUACUGGUUGGCUAGAGUAUGGGAGAGGAUGGUAGAAUUCCAGGUGUAGCGGUGAAAUGCGUAGAGAUCUGGAGGAAUACCGAUGGCGAAGGCAGCCAUCUGGCCUAAUACUGACACUGAGGUGCGAAAGCAUGGGGAGCAAACAGGAUUAGAAACCCCGGUAGUCC
rnacentral:rRNA from 1 species